UUUCCAUGAUGAGGGCACUUCCAUAAUAAUUCUUUGUACCUUUCCCAUACCUCAUACAAGGACUUAUCAUCCAUCUGUUGAAAGCAAUGAUCUCGUUCCUCAACUU
rfam:Gossypium arboreum cultivar AKA8401 contig_1412_5, whole genome shotgun sequence.